UUUUAUGGAUGAGCAAAGAAAGUGGUUUCUAGGGAUGGAAUUUACUCCUGGUAAAGAUGCUAUGAA
rnacentral:pre_miRNA from 1 species